GAGCGAACAGACGAGGAGCUUGCUCCUCUGACGUUAGCGGCGGACGGGUGAGUAACACGUGGAUAACCUACCUAUAAGACUGGGAUAACUUCGGGAAACCGGAGCUAGUACCGGAUAAUAUAUUGAACCGCAUGGUUCAAUAGUGAAAGACGGUUUUGCUGUCACUUAUAGAUGGAUCCGCGCCGCAUUAGCUAGUUGGUAAGGUAACGGCUUACCAAGGCAACGAUGCGUAGCCGACCUGAGAGGGUGAUCGGCCACACUGGAACUGAGACACGGUCCAGACUCCUACGGGAGGCAGCAGUAGGGAAUCUUCCGCAAUGGGCGAAAGCCUGACGGAGCAACGCCGCGUGAGUGAUGAAGGUCUUCGGAUCGUAAAACUCUGUUAUUAGGGAAGAACAAAUGUGUAAGUAACUAUGCACGUCUUGACGGUACCUAAUCAGAAAGCCACGGCUAACUACGUGCCAGCAGCCGCGGUAAUACGUAGGUGGCAAGCGUUAUCCGGAAUUAUUGGGCGUAAAGCGCGCGUAGGCGGUUUUUUAAGUCUGAUGUGAAAGCCCACGGCUCAACCGUGGAGGGUCAUUGGAAACUGGAAAACUUGAGUGUAGAAGAGGAAAGUGGAAUUCCAUGUGUAGCGGUGAAAUGCGCAGAGAUAUAGAGGAACACCAGUGGCGAAGGCGACUUUCUGGUCUGUAACUGACGCUGAUGUGCGAAAGCGUGGGGAUCAAACAGGAUUAGA
rnacentral:rRNA from 1 species